rnacentral:rRNA from 1 species
UACGUAGGGUGCAAGCGUUAAUCGGAAUUACUGGGCGUAAAGCGUGCGCAGGCGGUGAUGUAAGACAGAUGUGAAAUCCCCGGGCUCAACCUGGGAACUGCAUUUGUGACUGCAUCGCUGGAGUGCGGCAGAGGGGGAUGGAAUUCCGCGUGUAGCAGUGAAAUGCGUAGAUAUGCGGAGGAACACCGAUGGCGAAGGCAGCUCUCUGGGACGGUACUGACGCUGAGGUGCGAAAGCGUGGGGAGCAAACAGG